AGAGUUUGAUCCUGGCUCAGGAUGAACGUUGGCGGUGUGCCUAAUACAUGCAAGUCGAACGGAGUUAAUAGCAAUAUUGACUUAGUGGCGAACGGGUGAGUAACGCGUUGGUGAUCUGCCUCGAAGUGUGGAAUAACGUUCCGAAAGGAUCGCUAAUACCGCAUGUGCUCUCGAUUUUUAGAAACUUGAGAGUAAAGGAUUUAUUCGCUUCGAGAGGAGCCUGCGUCCCAUCAGCUGGUUGGUAGGGUAACGGCCUACCAAGGCUAUGACGGGUAGGGGACCUGAGAGGGUGGCCCCCCACAAUGGAACUGAAACACGGUCCAUACACCUACGGGUGGCAGCAGUAGGGAAUAUUAGAAAUGGACGAAAGUCUGAUCUAGCAACACCGCGUGUGCGAAGAAGGCCUUCGGGUCGUAAAGCACUUUUUGGAAGGAAUAGGAAGGAAUGUACUUCCAGAAUAAGUCUCGGCUAACUACGUGCCAGCAGCCGCGGUAACACGUAGGAGGCAAACGUUAUCCGGAUUUACUGGGCGUAAAGCGCGUGUAGGUGGUACUGUAAGUAGGGCGUGAAAGCUCCCGGCUCAACUGGGAGAGGCCGUUCUAAACUGCAGAACUAGAGGAUGGUAGAGGGAGGUGGAAUUCCAGGUGUAGCGGUGGAAUGCGCAGAUAUCUGGAGGAACACCAGUGGCGAAGGCGGCCUCCUGGACCAUUCCUGACACUCAGACGCGAAAGCUAGGGUAGCAAACGGGAUUAGAGACCCCGGUAGUCCUAGCCCUAAACGAUGUAGACUAGGCGUCGGUGGUUUAAUCACCAUCGGUGUCCAAGCUAACGCGAUAAGUCUACCGCCUGGGGACUACGGCCGCAAGGUUAAAACUCAAAGGAAUUGACGGGUCCCCGCACAAGCAGCGGA
rnacentral:rRNA from 1 species